rnacentral:rRNA from 1 species
UACGUAGGGUGCGAGCGUUAAUCGGAAUUACUGGGCGUAAAGGGUGCGCAGGCGGUUCUGCAAGUCAGGCGUGAAAUCCCCGGGCUUAACCUGGGAAUGGCAUUUGGGACUGCAAGGCUGGAGUUUGGCAGAGGAGACUGGAAUUCCCGGUGUAGCAGUGAAAUGCGUAGAUAUCGGGAGGAAUACCGAUGGCGAAGGCAGGUCUCUGGGCUAUAACUGACGCUCAUGCACGAAAGCGUGGGGAGCAAACAGG